rnacentral:misc_RNA from 1 species
GAAAUGCGAUAAGUAGUGUGAAUUGCAGAAUUCAGUGAAUCAUCGAAUCUUUGAACGCACAUUGCGCCCUUUGGUAUUCCUUAGCGCAUGCCUGUUCGAGCGUCAUCUAAACCUUCAAGCCCUGCUUGGUGUUGGGUGCCUGUCCCGCCUCCGCGCGCGGACUCACCUCAAAUCCAUUGGCGGCCCCCGCGUCGGCCACGAGCGCAGCAGAAACGCGAACUCGUGAGCCCGUCCGGGCGGCUCCCAGAAGCUACACCCACCCAGUUUGACCUCGGAUCAGGUAGGGAUACCCGCUGAACUUAAGC